rnacentral:lncRNA from 1 species
AAAGAAGCCAGCUCAAACCAGCUAGGACUAGGAAUCAUAAUACAUUUGCAUAAGACACUUCCACCAGCACCAUGACAAUUUACAAGUCCCAUGGCAAUAAACCCAAAAGGUACCUUAUAUGGUUCCAGGAAAACCCUGCCCCCUUUCCAGAAAGUUUGUGAAUAGCCCGCCUCUUAAUUAGCAUGUGAUUAGAAGGACGUAUCAGUAGAGCCUCAGUAGAGCCAGCAAGCGAUCAGGGAGUGCCCUCUGCCUGUGGGACAGCCCUGCUCUGUCUGUGGAACAGCCAUCUUGUUGUACACUGUUGCACAAAUAAACCUGCUUGCUUUCACUGUCCGCUCACUCUUGAAUUCUUUCCUCCGUGAAGCCCAGAACCCUCCUGAGCUGAGCCCUGAUUUUGGGGUUCUCUUGCAUCCUCACUGAUGGCUGAUCCUCCAGGAGGCCUUUCCUGGUCAUCUGACAAAGAUUCCCUCCUUGGCCAAGCUAGCCAGACACCAACAUAGUUUUUUUUGUAUUUUUAUUUUGGGGCCAGGUUAUGAUGUAGCAGGACAAGCCACAGACAAAACUCAUCAGACACCGGAUUAAAGAAGGAAGAGGUUUAUUCGGCUGGGAGCGUCAGCAGACUUGCGUCUUAAGAGCCGAGCUCCAUGUAUCAGCUAACAGAACAGAAAGCUUUGCAAUGCUUUUUCAUACAAUGUCUGGAAUUUACAGAUAGCACAAGUAGUUUAGGUCAGGGGUUGAUGUUAUUGUUAUUACUUUUUUAACUCCUAGGGCCGGGUGGUGGUGCCAAGUUUGUCUGGCUAUUUAUCUUACUUUUGUUUCUUUUUAACUUUUUGCUUUUUUUCUUUCCUCCUGUCUUGUAAACUAGGCAAGGUGGGGGGAGAAGGACAGCAGGAGUAGUAGUGGUCUCCUUCCUUAUUCCCCCUUAUUAAAAAAGUAAUAAUAAUAACAUCCUGGUCUCGAACUCCUGGGCUCAAGCAAUCUGCCCAUCUUGGCCUCCCUAAGUUCUGGGAUUACAGGCAUGAGCCACUGUGCCCUGCCAAACACCGACAUAGUUUCUAAUAGCUCAAGGUCUCAUCCCUGGAAUGACCCUCUAAAAGUGCCUGCCUGAGAAAACUCAAGCCUGCCAAAAGAACUUACUGUUUGUUCCAGCCAACACCUGAGGAUAGGGCCCCAUCUCCCAGCUCCUGUGGGAGAGUAAGAGCUCA